rnacentral:lncRNA from 1 species
CUGCUAUCUCUCCAAAGAAUGUCUCUCGUUUAGUCUACCAUCUUUCUAAAGAAUCCUUUAGUACAUGUUCUUACAUGUGAACAGUAUCAAAGGUUUAUUUUCAUUUUUCGCCCAAAGAUCUUUAGUAUCGGUGCUUUAUAAGAACAGUACUAAAUGUUCCUUUUCAGUGCGCGCUCAUAUGUCUUUAGUACCGGUUCUUAAUUUGUAGGAACCAAUAUUAAAAUGCCCCCUGAUAACUUUGGCUUUCUUCAUGCCCUUCUCAUUCUCUUCUUCUUGUGCCCUCCUUGGUGAGCUCGUCAAGCUCUCUCCUUGCACCACCAUUGCCUUCGUCGAGCCCAUGCACCUGUGCCUUCCCCAUUCCACCACUGCUCCUAUUGACCCUGAAAGGAUCACGAUGCCCAAGAGAGGGGGUGAAUUGGGCUUUUCUAAAAAUCAACACUAAUUAAAAGCUAAGCAAGAGCCCAACUUCACCCCAACAACUAGCACUAAGAUAAUAAUACUAGAAAUACAAUCAUGCUAAGACAAUACUUCAAAUACUUGCUAAACAAAUACACAAUGUAAAG